AUGCUUACAUCUGAAGAAAUUGGUGAGCUUGCUGUGAUUGAUAGGUGUCAGAUUCUCGUCAUGUUGCAGAUGUGUUCCUGUUCCGAUUUCCACUUUGUCGAGUCCCCCUCUUUAAAUGUUUUGAAGUUACGGCUUCAUCCUGGCAUUCAAGAAGACUCUGCUACCUUGAUUUUUGAAAUUAGCACGCGUUUAGGAAACAACUCGUUCCUUGGAUCAAUCCAUAUUCUUCUGAACCUCUGCUGUUCCACAGUAAGAGGCCCAGAAGAAUAUUCAUACCAAAUCAACAGCGAGAUAACUGUAAAGUGCAGAAACGCUGUGCAAGUGCAUGCACUUCGCUAGCCCUUAUUUUCCCUACCCCAUGAUAGACCCUCCCAGACAGGAGCUUCUCUCUCUCCCUCUCCUGUACCUGUCACUGAAAGUCCGUCUGCCACUUUUGCAGGGCCACAGGUGUCCCAUGAGGGACGUGGGUGGCGCUGUGGGUUAAACCACAGAGCCUAGGACUUUCCGAUCAUAAGGUCGGCGGUUCGAAUCCCCGCAACGGGGUGAGCUCCCAUUGCUCGGUCCCUGCUCCUGCCAACCUAGCAGUUCGAAAGCACGAAAUGCAAGUAGAUAAAUAGGUACCGCUUCAGCGGGAAGGUAAACGGCAUUUCCGUGUGCUGCUCUGGUUCUCCAGAAGCGGCUAAGUCAUGCUGGCCACAUGACCUGGAAGCUGUACACCAGCUCCCUCGGCCAAUAAAGCGAGAUGAGCGCCGCAACCCCAGAGUCGUUCGCGACUGGACUUAACAGUCAGGAGUCCCUUUACCUUUAAUGGUGUCCCAGAAGGGGAGACACCAAAUCGAUACAUUUGAGGUGACCCCCACAGACACCAGUGCAUCACUGGUGUUUUGCAGCAUGCUCAGCUUCUCCCUUCCCAUCCUGAAACACCUUCUUGGGAUGAGUGGACUCUGUUUGCCUGCCUCUACACAGCAGCAGUUAAUGAGGACUGACCCAUGCAGCAAAUUGCUGUUAAAUUAGUGCAAAAAGUUAAAAGGUCUCAGAUAGUAUCUUAAAGGGCAAAGGGUAACCUGUUUGAAGUUCACUUCCUUUUUCUUGAUAACCUGGCGGCCAAGAUGUUUUGUUAUCACCGCCUGCAUCAUACCCGACUUUGUCUCUCCCCAUCCUGAGGUCCAGCUGGUCCACCUCUGCACACGGGCAGCUAAGUAGCACCAUCCCAUGUGGUCAAAUUGCUGGUAUGCUUGUACAGAGAAAAAGUCUUACAUAUUGGCUGCAGAUGUGAAGGGCAGAAAGUAAGGUGUGUGAAGCUCAUCUCCCUUUGAAACCUUUGGCUAAUUUAUUUCCCUUGCUGCUGUGAGUCCUGCCUUCCUAGCUGGAUGCAUGGACUAUUCCUUGCUCACAUUCUCCUCCUCCUCCUCCAUAGCAGCCAGCUCUUGAAAGAUGAGGCUGCGGGAAAUCUAGUGUUGUCUUUGCUGGGGAGGGAACUGGUCCAGGGAUGUGGGAGUACAUUUGAAGGCAUGCUUACCCAAAAGCUUUUCUCACCUCCAAGAGCCUUUUAAGCUGGUGUGUGUGUGUGUAAGUGCCCAUGGGUCCCCUUGGAGCUUUAAGAAUUCAAUGGAGUCAGGGGCUUGGGCACAGGUCUCAUACAUUCCCCUCAGCUGGACUCUUCUCCUGUACUGCCCCAGGCUGAAGGCAGGCAAGCAGUAAAGGUAAAGGGACCCCUGACCGUUAGG
rnacentral:lncRNA from 1 species